rnacentral:rRNA from 1 species
GAUGAACGCUGGCGGCGUGCUUAACACAUGCAAGUCGAACGAAGCACUUUUAUUUGAUUUCUUCGGAAUGAAGAUUUUAGUGACUGAGUGGCGGACGGGUGAGUAACGCGUGGGUAACCUGCCUCAUACAGGGGGAUAACAGUUAGAAAUGACUGCUAAUACCGCAUAAGACCACAGCACCGCAUGGUGCAGGGGUAAAAACUCCGGUGGUAUGAGAUGGACCCGCGUCUGAUUAGGUAGUUGGUGGGGUAACGGCCUACCAAGCCGACGAUCAGUAGCCGACCUGAGAGGGUGAUCGGCCAGAUUGGGACUGAGACACGGCCCAAACUCCUACGGGAGGCAGCAGUGGGGAAUAUUGCACAAUGGGGGAAACCCUGAUGCAGCGACGCCGCGUGAGCGAUGAAGUAUUUCGGUAUGUAAAGCUCUAUCAGCAGGGAAGAAAAUGACGGUACCUGACUAAGAAGCCCCGGCUAACUACGUGCCAGCCGCCGCGGUAA